UUGCAAUGAGAUUGUACUAAGGUAGCGCAAUAAGUAGUCUCUUAAUUGGAGGAUAGUAUGAAUGGUUUGACGUGGAGAUGCUGUUUCUAAUGUAGUUAAAAUGAAAUUUCUUUUUAAGUGAAAAAGCUUAAAUUUUUGUAAAAGAUGAGAAGACCCUAUCGAACUUAAUUAUGGCUAGGCAGUUUAUGCUAAAUAGAUUAUAUUUGGUUAGUUUCCUUAGCUUUAAAUUUUACUGGGGCAGUAGAGGGUUAUAUAAUACCUUUCUUUUAUAUUGAAGAGCCUUUUAGAUGGAAAAGAGCAAAAGUUACCGUAGGGAUAACAGCGUAAUUUGGUUCCCGAAAGAUCUUAUUAAGGGAAGAGUUUGCGACCUCGAUGUUGGAUUAUA
rnacentral:rRNA from 1 species